UCAAAUCUUCUAAGCUUUUUGCCCUGGUGUUUAGUGUUUAUUUACGACUGUGCCACUCGACUUAUAUGUUAGCUUCCGGUGACUGGGAACCUGAGAGCCUCAGCUCGUCUCCAGCUCUCGGUUUCCCCCGCCUCUGGUUCUUCCGUUACCGCCGCUUGAGAUAACAGGUUAAAGCAAAAUCAAGAACUAAAUAGAAUUUUCAUCAGCUUUUUUCUUUAUUACAAUAAGGUUGUUUGCAUAUUUGAUGCCGAAUACUAAGAGUCACCGGAGAGGAGUACAGGAACCGAGCCGGAGAGCAAAGUUGUCGGAGAAAUCGUCGUCGUUUCACGGGGGAAUCCCGGCCACUAUGCAGACGGAUCAGAAGGAGCUCAGAAGGCCGAAGACUUUACCGGAUUUGCUUCAAGAUCGUAGCCUUGUCUGUCUGUCACCGGAA
rnacentral:lncRNA from 1 species